rnacentral:SRP_RNA from 1 species
CUCCCCCCGUAGUCCCAGCUACUUGGGCAGCGAGGCGGGCGGACCACUUGAGCCCAGGAGCACUGCACAGUAGUGCACUGUGCUGACCAGCUGUCUAUACUGUCUUCAGCAUCAAAUGGUGACAUCGUGGGGCAGAGACCACCGGGUUGCCUAAGGAGGGGCGAACUGGACCAGGUCAGAAGCAGAGCAGGUCCAAACUCCCCUCCUGAUCAGUAGUGGGAUCAGGCCUGUGAACAGCCACUUCGCUCCAGCCUGGGCAAUAUAGCAUGACCUCAUCCUA